ACAUGCAGGAGCUGCAGCGACAGCAGCAGCAGCGGCGGCGGCAGUUCGGCUGCGGCAGCGAUCACGGGGCAGUUCGGGGCGGCCGCGAUCGCCUGGGGCAGCGGCGGUGGUUGCGGAGCAGAUGCAAGUGGCGGCGGCUGGGGCAGUCAGGAGCCGGGCGGGAGAGAGAGCCGUGGCAGCACGCAGGAACCAGGAGGGAGAAAAAGCCGCUGGAGCACGCAGGAGCCAGGAUCUGGAAUGCUGGUUUUUACAAUUGCUCUACCUGAGGUGGUGCCCAGCUUGUAUGUCCCCACUGAAGCCAAUUUACCAUCUUCACUUUUCCCCUGCUUGCCAUGGAGCUGGAGCUGAAAUGUGGCUGUGGAUGGGCCAUAGGAGCAGAAGAGGAGUGGGGCAGAUGGAGACACGAUAGGUGAAAGCAGGAGAGUGUGGGGGCAGUAGUGGGGAGAGAGCUUCAUGGCUGUGGAAAGUUCCACAGAGGAGGUGCCAGAGGGAACACAUGAGCCACCUAAGCAUGUUCCUCCGGGUCCUGGCAGGAAGACUCCACGCUUCUCACCCAUAUGGUACCUGAGCUAACAUUAGAAGCAUUCAGCUUGAGUGAAGUACCAGCUCAGGGAAAGGCAACAAGGCUGCUCCUGACAAAUGUGAGACUCUUCAUACACAUGCCCCCACAUGCCAUCUGCCCAGUUCAUCACUCAAGCAAGCGAAAGCUGGAAGAAGUUCCAGGCUGAAUAGCCUAGUAAAAGCAGAAGGAACAGAGGGCAGACUGUGUCUUCAGGGGUCCUGCCAGCAUUGUUUGCCAUGGUGUCUGUAUUUUCUGAAACACUCAUAGUGACGCUAUUCAUCAAAGACUGGUUUUCUGUCAUGGUGGAAAAUAGUUUGGUCUGUAAGUGGAGCUACAACAGGCAGUGCUAGUGGCUGUGUCUCUCUGCUAGGCAGAAAUGCAAUUGCCUUGGAUAAAUAAAGGUGAAGUGGUCUUUAGUGCAGUGCACAGACUUGUUAUUUUCUAGCUGUGAGUGUUUCUUUGCAUCUUUUGCUGCAGUCUCUUUUUUCUUUUUUUUUUUUUUAACCUGCUUAGGCCAGGGGUCUGAGGGAAAAAUUUCCCUUCUCAAUAUAUUUGCUUAUGACUGUCUUAGGUUGAAAAUGGGAGUGUGUAUUCUAUUCCUAUCUGAUGGGGCAGUUAUCUUUUGUUAAUUGGGCAGUUUAUCUCUUCCACAGCCCAUCCUCCUUCUGGGGAGAUACCUUCUGUUAAUGGGCCACUGAGUCCCACUGCAUGACUGGUAAAAUGACAUCACCCCAUUGUAAGAUACUCCACUCAGAGGGAGGAGACAAGCAUUCCUAACUGGAUAUAAUCAGAGAUUUAGAAGACCACAGCAGCCUUUUCCACUCGAUUCCCAGAGGAGCAGUCUUUUCUAACUGGAUUCUGAGGAAAACCAGGCCCAUCUACACCACCACUGGAUCUUCAGAAGAAGACUACAUCCUUCUACAGGAUUACCGCUUCAACAGAAACACAUCUGUCACUCCAGGAGGACUGCAGCCACCAUUUCAAUUGGACUGCUACCAAUACCCUGACCAACAGGGUGUCAGGUCAUAUUCUGGCUCUGUCAGUGUUGUUUUGUAUUACUGCAUUGGUUUUGUUGGGUUUUUUUUUCUUCCCUAAUAAAGAACUGUUAUUCCUGCU
ensembl:lncRNA